CACAGAUAUAAUAAUAUUUUAUUAAAACAAAAAAACCUUGCACAAAGCACUGGCUCCUGUCUAGUUACAACCCUUAACUUAGCUCCAUGAUGCUAUCAUUACAAACCCUCCAACAUAAUUUUGUCACUUUGUGGCCCCAUCAAUAACCCAUUAAAACUAAUCCCAAACUUAUUACAGCCUUGACCGUACAUAAAGAUACAGUACUUAUUCAUCUGUAAUUAACCGAUAGGCAAAACCCAUUAAUAUUUUCAAACCACCCUCAAAUUCCAAAAUUUUCAAGCUUUAACCUGCAUAUUAGCAUCUGCAAGACAGACGGAGAAGGUGAGGUGACAUACUAGUGAAGACUUCACCAGGUGGUAUCCAUAUUUCACUUAAACUUUGACAGACACAAAAGUAAGGGCAGCAGGGAACUUCUCCAAUGAUGAGAAUAGAUGAUCUUUGAUGAAACAAAGUGGUUUGCUUCAUAUAAGAAGAAAGAACUUUAGCAAAAUGUUCAUAAAUUUGUUAUAUUCAGUCAGAGAAAAUGGUUAUGGUAGCAUGUGCAAUUCAUUCCUUUCUAUUCAGGAUUGUAGUGACCUCACAUAUCCUUGAAGGAUUACUGACACAAAGGAGCUGCUGCAAAUUUUGGGAAGAAACCCAACAUUUUAUAACUAUUGACUCAACAAUUGAGGGAAGUGAGGUCAUAAUGGUGUUAAGAUGGAUAAUACGUCUCCAUUAGAGAAGGAUUCUAAAGGGGAAAUUCAGUUCAAUAAGGUCAAGAACUCUGACUAGUGUCUGAAAGGGUUUCUUGGCUUCAAGCAAAUUACCCUGAUAUUUCCCUCUUCUAACUUCAAUGGAGAAGUUCCAGCUCAUAUUGAACCGAAGAGGAAGAAGAAGCACCCAACACAAUGUCCUUUAUACAACACAGCACCAAACAUCAUAUUAAAG
rnacentral:misc_RNA from 1 species